rnacentral:rRNA from 1 species
ACUCAAAUGAAUAGACGGGGGCCCGCACAAGCGGUGGAGCAUGUGGUUUAAUUCGACGCAACGCGAAGAACCUUACCUGGGCUCGAACGGCUUCGGACAAAUCGUGGAAACACGGUCUUCCCGCAAGGGACUGGAGUCGAGGUGCUGCAUGGCUGUCGUCAGCUCGUGUCGUGAGAUGUUGGGUUAAGUCCCGCAACGAGCGCAACCCUUGUCCUGUGUUGGCAUGUGUUUAGCAAUAAACGCGCAACUCUCAGGAGACCGCCAGCGAUAAGUUGGAGGAAGGUGGGGAUGAGGUCAAGUCAUCAUGGCCUUUAUGUCCAGGGCCACACACGUGCUACAAUGGGCGGUACAGAGCGCUGCCAACCCGCGAGGGGGAGCUAAUCGCCAAAAACCGUCCUCAGUUCGGAUUGCAGGCUGCAACUCGCCUGCAUGAAGCUGGAAUCGCUAGUAAUGCUAUAUCAGAACGAUAGCGUGAAUACGUUCCCGGGCCUUGUACACACCGCCCGU